AGAGCGAACGCUGGCGGCAGGCCUAACACAUGCAAGUCGAGCGCCCGUAGCAAUACGGGAGCGGCAGACGGGAUAGUAACACGUGGGAACGCGCCCUUCGGUUCGGAAUAACUCAGGGAAACUUGAGCUAAUACCGAAUACGCCCUUACGGGGAAAGAUUUAUUGCCGAAGGAACGGCCCACGUCCGAUUAGCUAGUUGGUGAGGUAAUGGCUCACCAAGGCUACGAUCGGUAGCUGGUCUGAGAGGAUGACCAGCAUCACUGGGACUGAGACACGGCCCAGACUCCUACGGGAGGCAGCAGUGGGGAAUAUUGGACAAUGGGCGCAAGCCUGAUCCAGCCAUGCCGCGUGGAUGAUGAAGGCCUUAGGGUUGUAAAGUCCUUUUAACGGGGAAGAUAAUGACGGUACCCGUAGAAUAAGCCCGGCUAACUUCGCGCCAGCAGCCGC
rnacentral:rRNA from 1 species